rnacentral:lncRNA from 1 species
UAGAAAAAAAUAAUUUACAUAUGUAACAAAGAUAAUUAAUUAAUAAUAAUAAAUAUGUUUUAAUUUUAAUAUAUUUAUCAAUAAACAAUACAUUUAAUUAAAAUAUUUAAAAAAUUCUAUAAUAUUAAUAAUAACAUGAUAUUUUAUGAUUUAUAAACUAACUAAUUUUUUAAACCCUAAUUAUAAAAUUCUAGAUCCGACACUACUCUACACUCACAGAACUUAGUAGUGAAAGCCGCAAAUUUUCUAUACUUGGUAAACAAAAAAAGAUACGGUGGUGUGAUUAGUCGAUAGUUUCUCGAUCUAACAGCUUCAUCGUUGCAGGAGAGAUUUGAAUUUAACCGUUAGAGAUAAAAUCAAGAAAAUUUAACCGAAUCGGACUAUCAACUAGAGGGUAUCGAAUAGCUGAUAUGAAAAUGAGUCGGAAUAGAGAAAAGAGACCAAUUGAGAUGCGAAAAAGAUGGAGAUUCAUUCGGAAAGUAGAUAGAGUCUACGUGGAAACUAUAUAUGUAAAUAAUAGGGUUUUUGUAUUAUUUUAUUAAGAUAAAAUCGUGUAAAUUAAGUUAGUUAAUAGAUACGAGUCUGUAUCGGUCUAGAAUCAGUUUUAGGGUAUAAAUACACCACCCCGUAGCUUGUAGAGAAUUAUCAACGAAUCAAUAAAAUUAUUUUUGGGCUCUCGGCGCAAGAUUAGUUCAACUCUGUAGUGUGAGUUUGUAAUU